rnacentral:rRNA from 1 species
CAUUAUCGUAUAAACUUGAACAGGCUGUUGCUGGCUCUCGGGCGCGUGCACGCUUGUCUCAUCUUUAUUAUUUUCUCCAACUGUGCACAUUUUGUAGAUCCUGGAUUGUUUAUGAAUUCACAUUCGAGUUGGGACUGCUGUCGCUUUUCUUUGAAAGGCCAGCUUUUCCUUGCAAUAUCUAUCUGGGUCUAUGUCAUUUUUCACAAACCUCUUGAAUGNGUUUAGAAUGUAAUUGUUGAUAUAUAAAAUAUACAACUUUCAGCAACGGAUCUCUUGGCUCUCGCAUCGAUGAAGAACGCAGCGAAAUGCGAUAAGUAAUGUGAAUUGCAGAAUUCAGUGAAUCAUCGAAUCUUUGAACGCAUCUUGCGCUCCUUGGUAUUCCGAGGAGCAUGCCUGUUUGAGUGUCAUUUUAUAACUUAUCAACCACUUUAUCAAAUGUGGCUUGGAUGUGGAGGUUCUUUGCAGGCUUUUUUCUGUUUUCAGGAAAGGGUCAGCUCCUCUGAAAUGUAUUAGUGGCAUCUGAGCUGCUACUAUAGGUGUGAUAACUAUCUAUGCCUUUGGUGUGCUGCAUUGAACAGAUUGCGCUGCUUAUAACAAAACCUUUUGACAAACUUGACCUCAAAUCAGGUAGGACUACCCGCUGACU